rnacentral:rRNA from 1 species
AGAGUUUGAUCCUGGCUCAGAUUGAACGCUGGCGGCGUGCUUAACACAUGCAAGUCGAGCGGUAACGCGGGAGCAAUCCUGGCGACGAGCGGCGAACGGGUGAGUAAUGCUUGGGAAUCUGCCCAUUAGUGGGGAACAACCAGCCGAAAGGUUGGCUAAUACCGCAUACGCCCUACGGGGGAAAGCGGGGGAUCGUAAGACCUCGCGCUAAUGGAUGAGCCCAAGUCGGAUUAGCUUGUUGGUAGGGUAACGGCCUACCAAGGCGACAAUCCGUAGCUGGUCUGAGAGGACGACCAGCCACACUGGGACUGAGACACGGCCCAGACUCCUACGGGAGGCAGCAGUGGGGAAUAUUGGACAAUGGGGGCAACCCUGAUCCAGCGACGCCGCGUGUGUGAAGAAGGCCUGCGGGUUG